rnacentral:rRNA from 1 species
AUUGAACGCUGGCGGCAGGCUUAACACAUGCAAGUCGAGCGGGGUGAUGGUGCUUGCACUAUCACUUAGCGGCGGACGGGUGAGUAAUGCUUAGGAAUCUGCCUAUUAGUGGGGGACAACAUCUCGAAAGGGAUGCUAAUACCGCAUACGUCCUACGGGAGAAAGCAGGGGAUCACUUGUGACCUUGCGCUAAUAGAUGAGCCUAAGGCGGAUUAGCUAGUUGGUGGGGUAAAGGCCUACCAAGGCGACGAUCUGUAGCGGGUCUGAGAGGAUGAUCCGCCACACUGGGACUGAGACACGGCCCAGACUCCUACGGGAGGCAGCAGUGGGGAAUAUUGGACAAUGGGGGGAACCCUGAUCCAGCCAUGCCGCGUGUGUGAAGAAGGCCCUAUGGUUGUAAAGCACUUUAAGCGAGGAGGAGGCUCUUUUGGUUAAUACCCAAGAUGAGUGGACGUUACUCGCAGAAUAAGCACCGGCUAACUCUGUGCCAGCCGCCGCAGUAA